rnacentral:rRNA from 1 species
AGUGAACGCUGGCGGUAGGCCUAACACAUGCAAGUCGAACGGCAGCACAGUAGGUUCUUGCUCUUACGGGUGGCGAGUGGCGGACGGGUGAGGAAUACAUCGGAAUCUACUUUUUCGUGGGGGCUAACGUAGGGAAACUUACUCUAAUACCGCAUACGACCUACGGGUGAAAGCAGGGGAUCUUCGGACCUUGCGCGAUUGAAUGAGCCGAUGUCGGAUUAGCUAGUUGGCGGGGUAAAGGCCCACCAAGGCGACGAUCCGUAGCUGGUCUGAGAGGAUGAUCAGCCACACUGGAACUGAGACACGGUCCAGACUCCUACGGGAGGCAGCAGUGGGGAAUAUUGGACAAUGGGCGCAAGCCUGAUCCAGCCAUACAGCGUGGGUGAAGAAGGCCUUCGGGUUGUAAAGCCCUUUUGUUGGGAAAGAAAAGCAGCAGGUUAAUACCCCGCUGUUCUGACGGUACCCAAAGAAGAAGCACCGGCUAACUUCGUG